UACGAGGGGGGCAAGCGUUGUUCGGAAUUAUUGGGCGUAAAGGGCGCGCAGGCGGUGCUAUAAGUCUGUGGUGAAAUCUCUGGGCUCAACUCAGAGUCUGCCAUAGAAACUGUAGUGCUAGAGUGUGGGAGAGGUGAGUGGAAUUCCCGGUGUAGCAGUGAAAUGCGUAGAUAUCAGGAGGAAUACCGAUGGCGAAGGCAGGUCUCUGGGCUGACACUGACGCUCAUGCACGAAAGCGUGGGGAGCAAACAGG
rnacentral:rRNA from 1 species